rnacentral:rRNA from 1 species
UACGGGGGGGGCGAGCGUUGUUCGGAAUUACUGGGCGUAAAGGGUUUGUAGGUGGCCUGCUAAGUCAGACGUGAAAUCCCUCAGCUUAACUGGCGAACUGCGUCUGAUACUGGCGGGCUUGAGGACAGGAGAGGAACGCGGAAUUCCAGGUGUAGCGGUGAAAUGCGUAGAUAUCUGGAGGAACACCGGUGGCGAAGGCGGCGUUCUGGACUGUUUCUGACACUGAAAAACGAAAUCCAGGGGAGCAAACGGG